AACGAAUGCUGGCGGCAGGCCUUACACAUGCAAGUCGAACGCGAAAGUCCUUCGGGAUGAGUAAAGUGGCGCACGGGUGAGUAACGCGUGGGAACAUGCCCUUCAGUACGGGAUAACAGCGGGAAACUGCUGCUAAUACCGUAUAUUCCCUACGGGGGAAAGAUUUAUCGCUGAAGGAUUGGCCCGCGUUAGAUUAGCUAGUUGGUGAGGUAAUGGCUCACCAAGGCUACGAUCUAUAGCCGGUCUGAGAGGACGAUCGGCCACACUGGAACUGAGACACGGUCCAGACUCCUACGGGAGGCAGGAGUGGGGAAUAUUGGACAAUGGGCGAAAGCCUGAUCCAGCCAUGCCGCGUGAGUGAUGAAGGCCUUAGGGUUGUAAAGCUCUUUUGGCGGGGAAGAUAAUGACGGUACCCGCAGAAUAAGCCCCGGCUAACUACGUGCCAGCAGCCGCCGUAA
rnacentral:rRNA from 1 species